GACGAACGCUGGCGGCGUGCCUAAUACAUGCAAGUCGAACGAGAGCAACCGGUGCUUGCCCUGGUCAAUCUAGUGGCGAACGGGUGAGUAACACGUGGGUAACCUGCCCAUCAGAGGGGGAUAACAUCCGGAAACGGAUGCUAAAACCGCAUAGGUCUUCGAACCGCAUGGUUUGAAGAGGAAAAGAGGCGCAAGCUUCUGCUGAUGGAUGGACCCGCGGUGCAUUAGCUAGUUGGUGAGGUAACGGCUCACCAAGGCCGUGACGCAUAGCCGACCUGAGAGGGUGAUCGGCCACAUUGGGACUGAGACACGGCCCAAACUCCUACGGGAGGCAGCAGUAGGGAAUCUUCCGCAAUGGACGCAAGUCUGACGGAGCAACGCCGCGUGAGUGAAGAAGGUUUUCGGAUCGUAAAACUCUGUUGUUAGAGAAGAACAAGUGCUAGAGUAACUGUUAGCGCCUUGACGGUAUCUAACCAGAAAGCCACGGCUAACUACGUG
rnacentral:rRNA from 1 species